rnacentral:miRNA from 1 species
CGCCCGGCCUCUUCUCUUCGUGCGGGCGGCCGGGCUCGGGGCCGGGGCCGGGGCCGGGGCCGGGC